UGCCAGCCGCCGCGGUAAUACGGAGGGGGCAAGCGUUGUUCGGAAUUACUGGGCGUAAAGGGCGCGCAGGCGGUCUUGUCCGUCGAUUGUGAAAGCCCGGGGCUCAACCCUGGAAGUGCACUUGAAACAGCAAGACUUGAAUACGGUAGAGGAGAGAGGAAUUCCUGGUGUAGAGGUGAAAUUCGUAGAUAUCAGGAGGAACACCGAUGGCGAAGGCAUCUCUCUGGGCCGAUAUUGACGCUGAGGCGCGAAGGCGUGGGGAGCAAACAGGAUUAGAUA
rnacentral:rRNA from 1 species